rnacentral:rRNA from 1 species
UACGUAGGGGGCUAGCGUUGUCCGGAAUCAUUGGGCGUGAAGCGCGUGUAGGCGGUCCGGUAAGUCCGCUGUGAAAGCCAGGGGCUCAACCCUUGGAUGCCGGUGGAUACUGUCGGGCUUGAGUACGGAAGAGGCGAGUGGAAUUCCUGGUGUAGCGGUGAAAUGCGCAGAUAUCAGGAGGAACACCAAUUGCGAAGGCAGCUCGCUGGGACGUUACUGACGCUGAGACGCGAAAGCGUGGGGAGCAAACAGG